GAAAGUUUGAAAACAGCUUUCAAACAUGUCGGAAACGAGGAAAAAAUAGAAAAGAAUUUGCACAGCACAACUAUUUUAACUGACACGAAACGACUUACACGAGUGCAGCACUACACCUUACACCGCAGUAGUUUUUCUUGCACGAAUGAAGUAAUGGUCGAUUUGGCAACGCCGUGAACAUGGAAGUGACGACAACGAUGGCUCAGUAGAACCUCCAAUUCAAAUUGAUUAAAUUUAUUGUGCUUUGAGAAAUUUAUUAUAUACCAAUCUUA
rnacentral:misc_RNA from 1 species